rnacentral:rRNA from 1 species
UACGGAGGAUGCGAGCGUUAUCCGGAUUUAUUAGGUUUAAAGGGUGUGUAGGCGGAUUGAUAAGUCAGCGGUGAAAUCCUUCGGCUUAACCGGAGAACUGCCAUUGAUACUGUUGAUCUUGAAUGUAAUUGAAGUGGGCGGAAUGUGUAAUGUAGCGGUGAAAUGCUUAGAUAUUACACAGAACACCGAUUGCGUAGGCAGCUCACUAAGUUAUGAUUGACGCUGAGGCACGAAAGCGUGGGGAG